rnacentral:rRNA from 1 species
UAUCAGCCUUUAGGAUGCGAUUUUGUGGAGCGUGAGGAGCUAAUCGCCUUCAUGCCUGUAUAUUCGUGUACUUGGGGUGUACUUAUUCGUGUGGUAAGUUAACAUCAAUUUUGGUCGUCAUAAAAUGACUGGAGGAAUGUAGCUUCGAUCUCGUAUUGAAGUGUUAUAGCCUUUGGUAGAUGUGAUUAUCGGGAUUGAGGAUUGCAACGGAUACCCUUCGGGGCUACUUGUCUGAUCUCUGAUCGUUGCUUUGGUGCCGAAAGCGUGCUUACGGUUAUCAAAGUCGAUGGUUAAUAGGUUAGAACGGGUUAAAUUCGUUAAGGAUGUUGACGUA